rnacentral:siRNA from 1 species
GGGAAGUACAUUUUAAAUGUAACC